rnacentral:rRNA from 1 species
UACAGAGGUCCAAACCGUUGUUCGGAUUCAUUGGGCGUAAAGGGUGCGUAGGCGGCGGGGCAAGUCAGGUGUGAAAUCUCGGGGCUCAACCCCGAAACUGCACUUGAUACUGCCUUGCUCGAGUACUGGAGAGGAGACUGGAAUUUACGGUGUAGCAGUGAAAUGCGUAGAUAUCGUAAGGAAGACCAGUGGCGAAGGCGAGUCUCUGGACAGUUACUGACGCUGAGGCACGAAGGCCAGGGGAGCAAACGGG